CCGAACCCUCGCCUCGGCCAUUCUGGACAAUCAUUUCAGAGGGAGCGAGAUCGGAGGAAAAAGGCUGGGCAGCUGGACAGGGUCUGGGGCAUGGUGGAGUCUUUGUGUCCAUCCACACCCCCCUCCCCCUUUCCUUCUGGGAGAGGGAAGAAGGUGAAAGAAGGAAAUAGGAAGAGACACAGAGAGAGAAAACCACUCCAUCUGUUUUCUCUCCCGCAGCGCUGGAGCUACUCUACGGCUGCCCUCCAGCAGAGAGAGAGAGAGCGAGAGAGAGAGAGAGAGAUGUAGGGGCAAAGAAAAGAAAGGCACAGGAGGAGAGGAGGAGAAAGCGAGAGAAUGAGAGAGAGGGCUUCCAUUUGUAGCCUUGCACACUGUAAAAACAUCCUGCAUGUACAGAGAAAAACACCAAAUUAUGCUUACAGGGCAUUUAUAUUCACUUAAAUGGAUAUACUUUAACUAAUUAUUAAAAAAUCUGAAAAUCAAAACAUUCCUGGAAGCCUAUAAAAUUUACUCCCCUCAGGCAGCCGGUCCAGAGUCCCAGUGACCUAAAAUCCCACAUCAUCACUCAGAGUGACAAUCAGUCUGACCACACACUCGCUCAGAAAAUCAGACCAACAUCACUGACCACAAUCAGUCUGACCACACACUCGCUCAGAAAAUCAGACCAACAUCACUGACCACAAUCAGUCUGACCACACACUCGCUCAGAAAAUCAGACCAACAUCACUGACCACAAUCAGUCUGACCACACACUCGCUCAGAAAAUCAGACCAACAUCACUGACCACAAUCAGUCUGACCAUACAUUCGCUCAGAAAAUCAGACCAACAUCACUGACCACAAUCAGUCUGACCACACACUCGCUCAGAAAAUCAGACCAACAUCACUGACCACAAUCAGUCUGACCACACACUUGCUCAGAAAAUCAGACCAACAUCACUGACCACAAUCAGUCUGACCAUACAUUCGCUCAGAAAAUCAGACCAACAUCACUGACCACAAUCAGUCUGACCAUACAUUCACUCAGAAAAUCAGACCAACAUCACUGACCACAAUCAGUCUGACCAUACAUUCGCUCAGAAAAUCAGACCAACAUCACUGACCGCAAUUAGUCUGACCACACACACUCAAAAAAUCAGACCAACAUCACUGACCACAAUCAGUCUGACCACACACUCGCUCAGAAAAUCAGACUGAACCUACACACCACCACCACAAACGUGGCCCUAAAUUGAGAUUCCACAUUAGCGCCCUACCUAACAACCAUCAAAGAGAAGAAAGCGGGGCAGACGUAGGCUGUGUCCAGAGGGAGGACGGUCUAGCCGGCACAGAGACGCCAGACUGGGAGAGAACAGUGAACUGAUCACACACGCAGCAGGACAUGUGACUGCCUGUCCUAACCAGGGGGACAACCAGCUUUUCCAUUUAACUGGAACAGGCAGAUGCAAAUUAUGCCUGCCUCCAUGAACCUCCAUUUAGAGGUGGGCGGGGCAGAGGCCUGCCAUGCUAUCUGCCUUUAACCCCAACCCAAGGGGACAGAGACAGAUCUAGAGUCUGCCCUGACACCGGCCCUGGUGAUACCAAUCUUUAUGAUCAGGAUGUCCACUCUGACCCCAGCAGUGAGGAUAGCACUGGCUGUCUCGCUACUGUCUGCACCCAAUCCAAUGAUUAGCACAAAUCACCUCGUCUGCAGAUCUGGAAUCGACCGCACCCAGCAGGGCCCUGAUUACGACUCUUACAAGGUGUCUACCCAAACUGAUGAGAGAUCAGCGAAUAAGGGCCAAGAUGUUUCCUGUGCCUAAGGGCUGGGGAGGAACUACCGCACCCAUCUAUUUAGCAUGAGAAUCCACAGAAACCGUUUUUUCUUUAUCUACAGAUCUGGGAUCAGGCAAAAGCCCAACAGUUCCCGCUAGAAUGAAUGCCUCUAAUGUUUGGGCACAAGGAUGAAAGUGGUUGGAUGCAAAUGUAUUGUUCAUGAGGCG